GGGCGUGUGGUCUAGUGGUAUGACGUCUGCUUCGCACCGAUCUGCGACUGAACAAGGGUCAAACCUUGGAUCAGCAGAAGGUCCCGGGUUCAAAUCCCGUCUCGUCCA